rnacentral:pre_miRNA from 1 species
CUAAUCUUUGAGUCAGAUGGGACGGGGAAAGUUAUAUCGCAAAUGUUUUUAGUACCAUAAGCGUAUAGCUUUUCCCCUUUCAGCUGACUUUACGUCGAU